rnacentral:lncRNA from 1 species
CUUACCAAUUUCAGCAGGUAGUUGUUUAAUUUUGUUCUCUCGAAUGCUAAGCAUGCUGAGUUUUGACAAGUUUUUGAUGUCCUUUUCCACAGUAGUUAUACGAUUAAAGCGAAGGUAAAGAGUGGUGAGAGAAUCCAGCCUAUACACCACUGAAGGAAUUUCUCUCAGUUUAUUAUGCCGUAAAUCAAGCAUCCGCAGCUUCUUCAAGUUAUCAAGAGAGUCAGGCAAACUGUAAUUGAAUUCAAAGAUGAAGAGACAAAGAUCCUACACAAUCAAAAAAGUACUGGCUUGAAGAAGUAAUCAGCAUGGAGUAACAUCCAUCUGUUACAUGUUGGAUCUAAAAGCACUAUGCCCAUUUCUGAUCAUUCAUUCCAACUGGUAAAAUAGUGCUGGUCAAUCAAUGAUUC